rnacentral:rRNA from 1 species
AUUGAACGCUGGCGGCAGGCUUAACACAUGCAAGUCGAGCGGAGAUGAGGUGCUUGCACCUUAUCUUAGCGGCGGACGGGUGAGUAAUGCUUAGGAAUCUGCCUAUUAGUGGGGGACAACAUUCCGAAAGGAAUGCUAAUACCGCAUACGUCAUACGGGAGAAAGCAGGGGAUCUUCGGACCUUGCGCUAAUAGAUGAGCCUAAGUCGGAUUAGCUAGUUGGUGGGGUAAAGGCCUACUAAGGCGACGAUCUGUAGCGGGUCUGAGAGGAUGAUCCGCCACACUGGGACUGAGACACGGCCCAGACUCCUACGGGAGGCAGCAGUGGGGAAUAUUGGACAAUGGGGGGAACCCUGAUCCAGCCAUGCCGCGUGUGUGAAGAAGGCCUUAUGGUUGUAAAGCACUUUAAGCGAGGAGGAGGCUACUGAGACUAAUACUCUUGGAUAGUGGACGUUACUCGCAGAAUAAGCACCGGCUAACUCUGUGCCAGCCGCCGCCGUAAAAC